rnacentral:miRNA from 1 species
AUGCAGUAUAUCCAUCGUGC